UCUACAAAUUGUAUUAUAAGAGAGGCUUAGUCAGGAUUGAACAAAAAAUUUAUCAUUACACUAAUAGACGGUUAUUAUUAAAUCAUCCAUCUCGCAAACAAUUUUUAGAAAUUAGACGGCCUAGAUGACAGGACGCUUUUGAGCGUCUCUUGGUGUGUGCUUCUCUGAUGUUUGUUGUAAAAAAAUAAAUAUAUGUACACUUAGGCCUUAGGGACUUACGAUUGCAAACUUUAUAUAUGACUCACGUUCCCAUUUAUUGAAAGCCUUUGUAAAUAUCCUUUUGCGGGUACUAAAUGGAAUGGUAGUGCGAGCCGGAUCGAGGUAGAACUUCAGUUGACGAACCUAUUGUAAUAGCGCGCAUCGGCCGGAGGUAGAAGAUCGGCGCUGUUGGACGGAGAUUGAGAAACGCGAGGAGAAUUCCCCGAAGGGCCGGAGGUGAAGAUAGAGAAUAUCUCGUAGGAUCCUGAGGUUGAAGAAAGA
rnacentral:lncRNA from 1 species